AUUGAACGCUGGCGGCAUGCUUUACACAUGCAAGUCGAGCGGCAGCGCGGGGGCAACCCUGGCGGCGAGCGGCGAACGGGUGAGGAAACCAUCGGAACGUGCCCGAGAGUGGGGGAUAACGCCGCGAAAGCGGCGCUAAUACCGCAUAUUCUCUGAGGAGGAAAGUGGGGGACCGCAAGGCCUCACGCUCCCGGAGCGGCCGAUGUCGGAUUAGCUAGUUGGUGGGGUAAAGGCUUACCAAGGCGACGAUCCGUAGCUGGUCUGAGAGGAUGAUCAGCCACACUGGGACUGAGACACGGCCCAGACUCCUACGGGAGGCAGCAGUGGGGAAUUUUGGACAAUGGGGGCAACCCUGAUCCAGCCAUGCCGCGUGCGGGAAGAAGGCCUCGGUU
rnacentral:rRNA from 1 species